ACCAGACUCCUACGGGAGGCAGCAGUGGGGGAUAUUGCACAAUGGGGGGAACCCUGAUGCAGCGACGCCGCGUGGGUGAAGAAGCGCCUCGGCGCGUAAAGCCCUGUCAGCAGGGAAGAAAAUGACGGUACCUGAAGAAGAAGCCCCGGCUAACUACGUGCCAGCAGCCGCGGUAAUACGUAGGGGGCAAGCGUUAUCCGGAUUUACUGGGUGUAAAGGGGGCGCAGACGGCGAUGCAAGCCAGGAGUGAAAGCCCGGGGCCCAACCCCGGGACUGCUCUUGGAACUGCGUGGCUGGAGUGCAGGAGGGGCAGGCGGAAUUCCUGGUGUAGCGGUGAAAUGCGUAGAUAUCAGGAGGAACACCGGUGGCGAAGGCGGCCUGCUGGACUGCAACUGACGUUGAGGCCCGAAAACGUGGGGAGCAAACAGGAUUAGAUACCCGGGUAUA
rnacentral:rRNA from 1 species